rnacentral:rRNA from 1 species
GAUGAACGCUGGCGGCAUGCCUAACACAUGCAAGUCGGACGGGCAGUGGUGUUUCUUGUGGCGGUCGGGUGAGUAACGCGUAAGAACCUGCCCUUGGGAGGGGAACAACAACUGGCAACGGUUGCUAAUACCACGUAGGCUUAGGAGCAAAAGAAGGAAUCCGCCCGAGGAUGGGCUUGCGUCUGAUUAGCUAGCUGGAGAGGUAAUAGCUUACCAAGGCGAUGAUCAGUAGCUGGUGCGAGAGGAUGAUCAGCCACACUGGGACGGAGGCACGGCGCAGGGUCCUUCGGGAGAAAGGAGUAGGGAAUAUUCCGCAAUGGGGGAAAGCCUGACAAGGCCAUGCGGCGUGGAGAUAGAAGGCCCACGGAUCGUGAACUUCUUUUCUAGGAGAAGACGUAAUGACGGUAGCUGAGGAAUAAGCAUCGGCUAACUAUGUG